rnacentral:piRNA from 1 species
GAUCUUCCUCUCAGUAAUUUGACAUCAAAC